UUCAUUAAUAUUUUUGCUUUAAAAUAUUUACUUUUUUUUUUUUCCCAUUUAACAGCUAGUACAGGUGAUUAUCAUUCAGUCAAGACUAUGGAGAAGCAGGAGCUGAUUGGACAGUAGGAACUAAUCUACAACUAAAUGCCUGAGGAGAAUCAACAAGAUACCUCCAAGUGACUGCUUUCUCUGUGUCAGGUUGUAACGCUGUUACUGAUUCAGAAGGAAGAAGCUCUGAGAAAUACAGCUGAGUUUUAUCUCUGUAUACUCUUCAGCCUUGCUCAUGUUGAAGGAAAAGCCACUGAUGCAAACCAUUAAUUUAACAGACAGGAAUUCCCCUUGGAAAGAUUCAAUUUUCAUGGAUAACCAGGGAUUUUAUUCUGAACAGGUAAGCAUGCAUAUGAAUAAAUCCUUCAUUUAUUCCUGCCCAGCAUUCUACAGUCAAUUCUGUUUUCUUACAUAUAUAAAAC
rnacentral:lncRNA from 1 species